rnacentral:rRNA from 1 species
AGAGUUUGAUCCUGGCUCAGGAUGAACGCUGGCGGCGUGCCUAACACAUGCAAGUCGAACGGGAAUCUUCGGAUUCUAGUGGCGGACGGGUGAGUAACGCGUAAGAAUCUAACUUCAGGACGGGGACAACAGUUGGAAACGACUGCUAAUACCCGAUGUGCCGCGAGGUGAAACCUAAUUGGCCUGGAGAAGAGCUUGCGUCUGAUUAGCUAGUUGGUGGGGUAAGGGCCUACCAAGGCGACGAUCAGUAGCUGGUCUGAGAGGAUGAGCAGCCACACUGGGACUGAGACACGGCCCAGACUCCUACGGGAGGCAGCAGUGGGGAAUUUUCCGCAAUGGGCGAAAGCCUGACGGAGCAACGCCGCGUGAGGGAGGAAGGUCUUUGGAUUGUAAACCUCUUUUCUCAAGGAAGAAGUUCUGACGGUACUUGAGGAAUCAGCCUCGGCUAACUCCGUGCCAGCAGCCGCGGUAAUACGGGGGAGGCAAGCGUUAUCCGGAAUUAUUGGGCGUAAAGCGUCCGCAGGUGGUCAGCCAAGUCUGCCGUCAAAUCAGGUUGCUUAACGACCUAAAGGCGGUGGAAACUGGCAGACUAGAGAGCAGUAGGGGUAGCAGGAAUUCCCAGUGUAGCGGUGAAAUGCGUAGAGAUUGGGAAGAACAUCGGUGGCGAAAGCGUGCUACUGGGCUGUAUCUGACACUCAGGGACGAAAGCUAGGGGAGCGAAAGGGAUUAGAUACCCCUGUAGUCCUAGCCGUAAACGAUGGAUACUAGGCGUGGCUUGUAUCGACCCGAGCCGUGCCGAAGCUAACGCGUUAAGUAUCCCGCCUGGGGAGUACGCACGCCUUUCCAGCACAGUGGCGCCCGUAAGUGCAUGCUGCAGGUGCCCCU